CGCCGACCCGGGGGGAAGGUUGGGCGCCCGGAAAUUCUCGGGAAAGUGAAGCGGCGCGGGCAGCGCAAAGCCUUUGGGGACAAUGCUGAAGCUCUCUGCAAUCCUGGAAACCUCUUCGAGAGGGUUGCUGUGCCUUGGAAGGAAUCCACUAGAUGGGAGUGAGAGAAUAUCCAAAUGCGCUGUAACAGCUCCAGGUCUUACAUGCGCUGCAGAUUUUCCGAUGCGUUGCAUACUUUCACCACAUGAUGGUGCCAAC